GAUGAACGCUGGCGGCGUGCCUAAUACAUGCCAGUCGAGCGAACAGACGAGGAGCUUGCUCCUCUGACGUUAGCGGCGGACGGGUGAGUAACACGUGGAUAACCUACCUAUAAGACUGGGAUAACUUCGGGAAACCGGAGCUAAUACCGGAUAAUAUAUUGAACCGCAUGGUUCAAUAGUGAAAGACGGUUUUGCUGUCACUUAUAGAUGGAUCCGCGCCGCAUUAGCUAGUUGGUAAGGUAACGGCUUACCAAGGCAACGAUGCGUAGCCGACCUGAGAGGGUGAUCGGCCACACUGGAACUGAGACACGGUCCAGACUCCUACGGGAAGCAGCAGUAGGGAAUCUUCCGCAAUGGGCGAAAGCCUGACGGAGCAACGCCGCGUGAAUGAUGAAGGUCUUCGGAUCGUAAAACUCUGUUAUUAGGGAAGAACAAAUGUGUAAGUAACUAUGCACGUCUUGACGGUACCUAAUCAGAAAGCCACGGCUAACUACGUG
rnacentral:rRNA from 1 species